rnacentral:rRNA from 1 species
CCCUUAGAUGCUCUGGGCCGCACGCGCGCUACACUGGUCGAUGCAACGAGUUUCUUUCCUUGGCCGACAGGCCUGGGCAAUCUUUGAACAUCGAUCGUGAUCGGGAUAGAUUCUUGUAAUUUUUGAUCUUAAACGAGGAAUUCCUAGUAAACGCAAGUUAUCAGCUUGCAUUGAUUACGUCCCUGCCCUUUGUACACACCGCCCGUCGCACCUACCGAUUGAAUGGUCCGGUGAAAUCUCCGGACUGGCGUGAGUCGGAGCAAUCUGACAAACACCGGAAAGUUGAUUAAACCUUACCAUUUAGAGGAAGGUGAAGUCGUAACA